rnacentral:rRNA from 1 species
AAAGCUGGACGGAGAUGUCACGCUGCGGAUUGGUUCGAUCAAGAAAGGAGAAAUCUGCCCGGCCCGGGCACCCGAACGAAUGCCCGGUUGUUAUUCUUUCUUGCAUUGCCGGGCGGGUGGUGCAUGGGCGUCCUUAAGUCGAGGAGCGAUUUGGCUGGCUGAUGCCCAUAACGAUCCAGACGCUGUGCUGAAAAAAAUGACCGCCGUUGGAUUAGCGCGGGAGUCUUUGUUGAGGGACUUACUGAUGAAACCCCCCCACAACUAACUGAUCUUCAGUCGGAUUACCUCCAACAAGCUUGACCACUUCAUGCCGACUAUCAUGGACUUCGCUGCAUCUCUGGCCCUUCCCCACAGCGGCGAGACAACUCCCUGAAAAAAAGCCGACCUGGGAGUGGAAAACUGUCUUCUUCUUGGCGAUGAAGAAGUCUUACUAUGUGUGAGACUACAGUUAACUUGGACUGACUUCGAGCCCCCUGUUUACAAAUACGGUCGUGGAUGCUUAGUGACACAUACACAACA